CCGAGUGACGCUCAGUUGAGCUCCUCCCACCCAUUGUUAACUUCUUGUUGCUUCGGCGGGCCACGAAAGUCAUCGGCUUUAUGCGGAUGAGUGCCCGCCGAAGAUUUUUCACUCCAAGUUUUGAAGUCUGAUUUAAAAAUAAAUAAUAA
rnacentral:misc_RNA from 1 species